CUGCUCUCCUGAUGAUCUCAUGAGGAGCCGCACACUUUUGAUGAGAAUUCUCUUCCUAACAAGCAAUGAAAAACUUCAACUGUUGUUGCAAAGAUCAUCUGUAUGAAGUAGAAAUAGGUUUCAACAACAUUAAUAGAGAAUACGUUCUUGAAAUUGGAGAUAAAUGUUUCUCUUUCACCGAGUGCUUCGACUGCUGUAUUUCAUCAAAGCUUUCUCAUCUAUUGAAAUAGAUCUGCUUUCAGAGAGAUAAUGAUCUUUCAUGAAAAAGGCAUAGAAUUGUUGGGAUCAAUUCUUAGCUUCAUCCUAGCUCUGGGACUUACCAGGCCCCCAAGCCUAGACACACACAAACAAAAGGAGUAACUGGAUAGCACAUGGUUUGUGAACAAGGUCACCUGAUGAAAAAGCAGGUGGGCCUACCUACCAGCUGUCGAAGGCUUUGUAUCCAGGGUGAAUGCGCAGCAAACAUCGCAAGAAGACCAAGCCUCACCCUUCCCCUAAUGAUCCCCUAAAUGAGAGGCUUUGAACAUGAUACUCACCUGUAAGUAAA